AUGGGCGCUGGAAGUUCACACACUUUCUUUUGUCUGUGGUUUUUUUCGAGCAGCCUCUUCCCAUUCCCCCCUGGAAGCGAUGGAGAUAUUAGACGCCUAAUGACAAUGUUUCACACGCGGGGGUGGGGUGAGGAGGACAACAGGCUCGUUAGCCGGGUUGAUUUGAAGCACACCCAAUGGCUGGCCCGGAGGAGGCCGGGGCAGAGGCUGGGGAUUCUCCGGGCUCUGCUGGGCUGUCACCGGCUGGCUCGGCACCUCCCGGGCGCGGAGCGGGAUGCGCUCCUUUUCCAAAUCCUCCUCUCCCUAAAACCCGGCGGGUUUUGCCUCCUUCCUGCUCCGGGAGGGAUGCUCUCGCAGCCAUCGUGGAGCUGCGACACCCCUUCUGCCAAAAUCCCUGCCGGUAUGGGGGGACGCCGGGGACUCGCACCGCUGGCCCCGGAGGCCCGGGAGGUGGCCAGGAGCACGGUAGCAGCGCCGGAGGUUCUGUCGCAUCCCGGGCGGGCAGUUGGCGUCCCCGGGGCCCUUCUUUGCUCAGCUCCGGAGGCGGGGUUAAGGCUAGGGUUAAGGUACUCGCAGGACAGGGAUCGCCCUAACUACAAGCAGCGGAUUUUACCGUUCGGCAAGGUCCGUCUGUCCGUUCCUCGGGCUCUCCCAGCCCCAGGCGGGAUGCUGGGGGAUCUGGACCCGGGCUCCUCCCGGUCUGUUUCAUUCUCAUCCUCCCGAACCCCGUCCCGCUCGGGUACACGGAGCGACCCCCGAGAGAUCUCUGCAGACACCCGGCACCCCCUCCCAGGGGUCCCCUCCCCAGCUGCGAGCCCGCAAAGCGGCUCGGGGGGACACCCGCACCCAGCUGGGAGUUCCCGUGGGCUGAGGGCUCCCCCUCUCUGCUCCCCUCGCUCCAUCCCGGCUCUGCGCUGGUCCUGGGCAGAACCGGAGAGUCUCGGCGUGCGGCUCCCCCCGCCCCGGAGACCCCGUGCUCGGCGAGGAGUAAAAUUCGCCUUCAUGUUGAAGGUUUUCCUCCCGUGA
rnacentral:lncRNA from 1 species